rnacentral:rRNA from 1 species
UACGUAGGGUCCGAGCGUUGUCCGGAAUUAUUGGGCGUAAAGGGCUCGUAGGCGGUCCGUCACGUCGGGAGUGAAAACUCAGGGCUCAACCCUGAGCGUGCUUCCGAUACGGGCGGACUAGAGGUAUGCAGGGGAGAACGGAAUUCCUGGUGUAGCGGUGGAAUGCGCAGAUAUCAGGAAGAACACCCGUGGCGAAGGCGGUUCUCUGGGACGGUACUGACGCUGAGACGCGAAAGCGUGGGGAGCGAACAGG